rnacentral:rRNA from 1 species
AGUGAACGCUGGCGGUAGGCCUAACACAUGCAAGUCGAACGGCAGCACAGUAAGAGCUUGCUCUUACGGGUGGCGAGUGGCGGACGGGUGAGGAAUACAUCGGAAUCUACUUUUUCGUGGGGGAUAACGUAGGGAAACUUACGCUAAUACCGCAUACGACCUACGGGUGAAAGCAGGGGAUCUUCGGACCUUGCGCGAUUGAAUGAGCCGAUGUCGGAUUAGCUAGUUGGCGGGGUAAAGGCCCACCAAGGCGACGAUCCGUAGCUGGUCUGAGAGGAUGAGCAGACACCUGGGACGUGGGACACGGUCCAGCCACGUACGGGAGGCAGGCGGGGGCAAUGUAGGACAAUGGGCGUCAGCCUGAUACAGCCAUACCGCGUGGGUGAGGAAGUCCUUGGGGUUGUAAAGCUCUUUUGUGAGCAAAAAAAAGCAGAAGGUUACUACCCCGCUGUUCUGACGGAACAAAAAAAAUAAGCACCGGAGAACUUGGUGCCAGCAGCCGCGGUAAAAGAUAAGAAGAGGACACGUUUGAAC